rnacentral:misc_RNA from 1 species
AACGCACAUGGCGCCUUCCAGUAUCCUGGGAGGCAUGCCUGUCCGAGCGUCGUUUCAACCCUCGAGCCCCUGUGGCCCGGCGUUGGGGAUCUGCCACGGCAGGCCCCUAAAACCAGUGGCGGACCCGAAGGGCCCUCUCCUUUGCGCAGUAGCAUUCGCCUCGCAUCGGGAGUCCUCGGCGUCCUGCCUCUAAACCCCCCACAAGCCCGCUCCGGCGGCACCAAGGUUGACCUCGGAUCAGGUAGGAAUACCCGCUGAACUUAA